GUUGAGUCUCUAGAGAUUUUUAAAUAGUGACUGGAUGGAGAUCUGACUACCCCUCACAAAGGGAUGAUCUGUCCUAAACUGGCAUUAAUGUGACUCAACGUUUCUGUCACAUCACUAAAUGAAAAAAGAACUGACACUAGCUGGUGGUAGUUGGUGACAACUGCACAGAAUCAGAUACAGCACCAAUGGAUAUGCUGCCUGCCCUAGUAUUUACUUGUUAUGCUUCUUCCCUCAGUAAUACAGACCUGUGGUAUCUUGCAGCACUUAUUAGAUGACUAUGUACUCACCCCCUACUCAUUUCCUUGCUGCACAAUUUGAACUUUGCAAGUCUGUCACACAGAGUGAUCCCAAUCUUUGCUUAAUUGGAACGGUACAUUAGCCCCCUUCCUUUGCCUUGCAUCUGCUGAAAAUGCAGGUGGAUUUGCAUUGGUGGCAGUGAAAACUGUCACAACACUAUCUUGCACACUAGCUCUUGGUGAUUAAUAUUAAUGGAAAUGUUGAUGGUGCCAGUAUAAGUGAUGUUGAUGGUGGUAUUGUUGGUGAUGGUAAUGAUAUUAGAACUGAUAGUGUGUGAGCUACUUCUGCUAGUGGUAGCAGGUGCAGCUUAAGUCACAACUGUCAGAUGAGGUAAAUCCAGGAGUGGCAAAAAAUUGGCAAAAAAGCCAUAAUGAGAGCAGAUUAGAAGUAGGUAUAUAAGGACCCAAUAUGUGAAAUACAGUAAUAUGAAGAAGUCCGUUGUGGUGUUGCACAACAAAC